ensembl:lncRNA
GGGCUACUCUCAACCAUACGCACUCCUCAUGCUCCAUUUAAGAUGAUGAUUAUUUGCUUUGUUCUCCUGUCCGUAAAUUAUCAUUAUUCUUUUGACAGCUUGUCGGCUGCAGAGCCCAGUGUGUGAAGUAAAGUGUUUUUAGAGCUUUCUGCUUUCAAGCUGUUUGUGUGUGGGCACAGGCCUUGAAUUCGCUCUCAUGUGUUUAUCCACAACAAGAUGGCCUGACCACUCCUGACAGGACCAUUGAUUCAACACCGUGAAACAAACAAAUCAAAAAUAGCACGCGGAAAACAACCAAGAUGGGAUUUCACUCACUGGUCAUCCUUUCUGACAGAUUUCCUCAUCUUAUUACUUCCCCACUGGAGCCUAAGUGCUGCACCUGCCAAUGAUUUCAAAAAGGUAAAUGUUUUUCAAAGCUUGUAUAUCAAAAUGCUUUAUUUAAUAUUAGGUACUAAUUUAAUUUAACAUAAGGUGAUAGUUCAACCAAACAUGACAAUUAUAUAUUCACCCUGAUAUAAUUUCAAACUUGUGUAACUGUAGUUUUUACUGCAUUUUUAAAGAUUUUUUAAAGAAAAAAAUGCAUUUUUAAAGAAUGAUGAAGAAUAAUUCUGAUAAAAAUUAGCAUUUUCUGUUCAGUAACACUAAUUAUAGCAAUAAUAAGUUAUUAAUGUCACGCAUGCUUUGCUAUAUAUUGAUCAUGUGGUGUAAACAACACAUUUAAGCAAACACCAAAAAUGUGCCAUUUCUCAUCAUGUCAAUGUGAGCAUGUUUCUGUCAUGUUUGAAAGAUGCUCCUAAAGUCUCCUGUGUUCGUCUCCUACUGUCAUAUCGAUGCUGUGGCCCAGCAAGCUGGCAGGGGCUGACCCUGAGAUGCUGGGAAUUAUGGGUAGUGGGAUUACCUAUGGUGGCACAGUCUUGUGCUUCCUCUGUGAGACUGGCUGGGCUGAGCAGAUGGCAGUGGCCUGGCAGUCACAGCAUGGGGGCCUCUCAAGUGACAAGAAGGUUCCUUUUUUUCCUUCUGGAGCACAUUAGAAAAAAUUACAGUGCUGACAUUUCUUCAUUAAUCAUGGCGGCCGGUGGUGGCAGCGAGUGGCGCGGAGCCUUGGCAGACGCGAGUGUCCCCGUUGUGCUGGCAGCCGCGCCCCAGACGCCAGCCUCUCAAUGCCACAGCUGUUGCUGCCAUCAGCCUCGCAAACAUCUGACACCCACCCCAGAUCAGCCCCGUCCACACCGGCUUCCUGUGCAUCCCAGAAGGGCUGAGGCCUGGUCUGGUGCAGCCCAUGUCCGCAUGGAUGGAUGGAUAGAUGGAUGGAUGGAUGGAUGACCUGAAUGGAUGGAUUAUGGGAUGUGGUAUUCCUCAAGGCCAAAGUGGGGCGUCGCUCCUCAGAGAGAGUCUACUUGCCUCAGUCUGGGCUGAUGUCUGAGAAGUGAAGAGCUGCAGGGUGUUGUAUUAAUUAAUCUUUUUCAUUUCUAUUAGAAUUUCACACAAGCUAUUAUGCAUUAUUUAACAUUUAUUUUAUUUGACUUUUUU